rnacentral:rRNA from 1 species
CCUACGGGGGACUGCAGUGAGGAAUAUUGGUCAAUGGACGCAAGUCUGAACCAGCCAUGCCGCGUGCAGGAAGACGGCUCUAUGAGUUGUAAACUGCUUUUAGUUGGGAAUAAAAGGGGGCUCGUGAGCCCCGUAUUGUAUGUACCAUAAGAAAAAGGACCGGCUAAUUACGUGCCAGCAGCCGCGGUAAUACAGAAGGUCCGGGCGUUAUCCGGAUUUAUUGGGUUUAAAGGGAGCGUAGGCCGGCUUUUAAGUCAGCUGUGAAAGUCCGGGGCUCAACCGUGGAAUUGCAGUUGAAACUGGAGGCCUUGAGUGCACACAGGGAUGCCGGAAUUCAUGGUGUAGCGGUGAAAUGCUUAGAUAUCAUGAAGAACUCCGAUCGCGAAGGCAAGUGUCCGGGGUGCAACUGACGCUGAGGCUCGAAAGUGCGGGUAUCAAACAGGAUUAGAUACCCCUGUAGUC